GAUGAACGCUAGCGACAGGCUUAACACAUGCAAGUCGAGGGGCAGCGGGGAGUAGCAAUACUCUGCCGGCGACCGGCGCACGGGUGAGUAACGCGUAUGCAACUUACCUAUCAGAGGAGAAUAGCUCAUCGAAAGAUGAAUUAAUGCUCCAUAAAACAGGGGUCCCGCAUGGGAAUAUUUGUUAAAGAUUUAUCGCUGAUAGAUAGGCAUGCGUUCCAUUAGGCAGUUGGCGGGGUAACGGCCCACCAAACCGACGAUGGAUAGGGGUUCUGAGAGGAAGGUCCCCCACAUUGGUACUGAGACACGGACCAA
rnacentral:rRNA from 1 species